rnacentral:rRNA from 1 species
UGGGGAAUAUUGGACAAUGGGCGAAAGCCUGAUCCAGCCAUGCCGCGUGAGUGAUGAAGGCCCUAGGGUUGUAAAGCUCUUUUGUGCGGGAAGAUAAUGACGGCACCGCAAGAAUAAGCCCCGGCUAACUUCGUGCCAGCAGCCGCGGUAAUACGAAGGGGGCUAGCGUUGCUCGGAAUCACUGGGCGUAAAGGGUGCGUAGGCGGGUUUCUAAGUCAGAGGUGAAAGCCUGGAGCUCAACUCCAGAACUGCCUUUGAUACUGGAAGGCUUGAGUUCGGGGGAGGUGAGUGGAACUGCGAGUGUAGAGGUGAAAUUCGUAGAUAUUCGCAAGAACACCAGUGGCGAAGGCGGCUCACUGGCCCGAUACUGACGCUGAGGCACGAAAGCGUGGGGAGCAAACA